AACGAACGCUGGCGGCAUGCCUAAUACAUGCAAGUCGAACGAGAUCUUCGGAUCUAGUGGCGCACGGGUGCGUAACGCGUGGGAAUCUGCCCUUGGGUUCGGAAUAACAGCGGGAAACUGCUGCUAAUACCGGAUGAUGACGAAAGUCCAAAGAUUUAUCGCCCAAGGAUGAGCCCGCGUAGGAUUAGGUAGUUGGUGGGGUAAAGGCCUACCAAGCCUACGAUCCUUAGCUGGUCUGAGAGGAUGAUCAGCCACACUGGGACUGAGACACGGCCCAGACUCCUACGGGAGGCAGCAGUAGGGAAUAUUGGACAAUGGGGGCAACCCUGAUCCAGCAAUGCCGCGUGAGUGAUGAAGGCCUUAGGGUUGUAAAGCUCUUUUACCCGGGAUGAUAAUGACAGUACCGGGAGAAUAAGCCCCGGCUAACUCCGUGCCAGCAGCCGCGGUAAUACGGAGGGGGCUAGCGUUGUUCGGAAUUACUGGGCGUAAAGCGCACGUAGGCGGCGAUUUAAGUCAGAGGUGAAAGCCCGGGGCUCAACCCCGGAACUGCCUUUGAGACUGGAUUGCUAGAAUCUUGGAGAGGCGGGUGGAAUUCCGAGUGUAGAGGUGAAAUUCGUAGAUAUUCGGAAGAACACCAGUGGCGAAGGCGGCCCGCUGGACAAGUAUUGACGCUGAGGUGCGAAAGCGUGGGGAGCAAACAGG
rnacentral:rRNA from 1 species